rnacentral:lncRNA from 1 species
GUUUUACUUGACACUUCCGAUCAGAACAGCCUCUAGGGCGAUUUUCCACAUUUUUCUUAAGGUUUUUAGAGCUUCAAACAUUUACUUUCAUUUUUGGAUUCAUCGGAUCGCUUGUUAGUCCAACUAUCCUUUCAUCGGAUUAUUUUUCAUCGGAUUGCUACGUUGUGUAAGAACUCAUUUAUUUUCCUCAGUAAUUUGAAUCCUUUGGUUUAUUUGAAUUCCUUAGUUUAUGCUUUGAUGAAUGUGAU